rnacentral:rRNA from 1 species
GAUGAACGCUGGCGGCGUGCCUAAUACAUGCAAGUCGAGCGAACAGACGAGGAGCUUGCUCCUCUGACGUUAGCGGCGGACGGGUGAGUAACACGUGGAUAACCUACCUAUAAGACUGGGAUAACUUCGGGAAACCGGAGCUAAUACCGGAUAAUAUAUUGAACCGCAUGGUUCAAUAGUGAAAUACGGUUUUGAUGUAUCUUAUAGAUGGAUCUGAGCCGCAUUAGCUGGUUGGUAAGGUAACGGCUUACCAAGGCAACGAUGCGUAGCCGACCUGAGAGGGUGAUAGGCCACAAUGGAACUUGGCCACGGUCCAGACGCCUACGGUAGGGAGCAGUAGGGAACGUUCCGCAAUAGGCGAAAGCUUGACGGAGCAACGCCGCGUGAGUGAUGAAGGUCUUCGGAUCGUAAAACUCUGUUAUUAGUGAAGAACAAAUGUGUAAUUAACUAUGCACGUCUUGACGGUACCUAAUCAGAAAGCCACGGCUAACUACGUG